CUUUGCGACAGCCUCUGGACAAAGCUGAAAGCCCGGAGGAAGUUCUACAGGCUGGCAGAAUUUACGCUCCCAUGCUGCAUAGCAACACCAACCAGAGCGCCCGACCCGCUUGCCCCUCAGCAACCCCAACAAUCCUCAACCAGCAAAGCACAAGAACCCACGGGGCCCGCCGCGUUGCCGACGAGGCAGCGGAUCGGAUUGCCAGAGGAAGACGCGGACAGGGUACCCCUCUGCGGCCCACAGGCAGGGGAACCUCAACCCUCCACCGCCCAACAGCAC